AGGGAUGAGACUCCUGGGCCAUUAGCUCAGGUGGUUAGAGCGCACCCCUGAUAAGGGUGAGGUCCCUGGUUCAAGUCCAGGAUGGCCCAUUCGGUGUUGGGGGUUUAGCUCAGUUGGUAGAGCGCCUGCUUUGCAAGCAGGAUGUCAGGAGUUCGAGUCUCCUAACCUCCACUGACUGCAAAGAAUCCCCAUCUCCAAAACCUGGAGUAUGAACUCGUAUGGAUUGUGAUUUAGAUGUGUCCGCUAGAUGACCCUAGCUUCUUGUCAUUUUAAGACAUGGAAAUGGUCCCAUGAUUUGAUUGAUAGGAUGCUGGGCUCGAUGCAAUGUAUUGAGAGAUCAAUGCAUUGUUUUGAUGUCUAGCUGAACCUUGACAACUGCAUAGUAAGUCUGGAAAGAAUAAAGCAUCUUUAUGGAUGCAUCAUUCUUGAGUGUUAAUUCACGUUGGGAUGAUGUUAAUUCUAAGAGCAAGAGCCGAGACUCCAGCAUGUUCUUUCAAAUGUGUCGAGCAUUUGAGAGUUUGAUUUUAAUUUCUACUUGUAGAAGUUAAAAGAAUCUGUUUCAACGACAGCAAGUGUGUUGGACAUACAUUGGUCAAGCUACAAAGGGCUCACGGCGGAUACCUUGGCACACAGAGGCGAUGAA
rnacentral:tRNA from 1 species